rnacentral:lncRNA from 1 species
ACCAACAAAGACAAGAAACAGAUGUACUCUUCAACAAGUCAAAGGUACAUGUUUGAAGGAGAGUCGUGAAAAAAGUGAUAAAGGUUGCAAGGCACAGGAGAAGAUGGGUGAUGUCAAGCACAAAAAGUGACAUGAAACCUGUUGUCUGUGACUCUCAACAUGUUAUCAACUGCAUAAUUAGAGAAAUGGUAACUGACAGGUUAACAGAUGGAAAACCCUGCUGCUCUGCUUUACUGUUUCUGCAUUAUCUGGAUUUGACAUUGAGGUCAAAGAAAUUACUCCAAGGAUAA